rnacentral:rRNA from 1 species
AUUGAACGCUGGCGGCAGGCCUAACACAUGCAAGUCGAGCGGUAGCACAGAGAGCUUGCUCUCGGGUGACGAGCGGCGGACGGGUGAGUAAUGUCUGGGAAACUGCCUGAUGGAGGGGGAUAACUACUGGAAACGGUAGCUAAUACCGCAUAAUGUCGCAAGACCAAAGUGGGGGACCUUCGGGCCUCAUGCCAUCAGAUGUGCCCAGAUGGGAUUAGCUAGUAGGUGGGGUAACGGCUCACCUAGGCGACGAUCCCUAGCUGGUCUGAGAGGAUGACCAGCCACACUGGAACUGAGACACGGUCCAGACUCCUACGGGAGGCAGCAGUGGGGAAUAUUGCACAAUGGGCGCAAGCCUGAUGCAGCCAUGCCGCGUGUGUGAAGAAGGCCUUCGGGUUGUAAAGCACUUUCAGCGGGGAGGAAGGCGAUAAGGUUAAUAACCUUGUCGAUUGACGUUACCCGCAGAAGAAGCACCGGCUAACUCCGUGCCAGCAGCCGCGGUAAUACGGAGGGUGCAAGCGUUAAUCGGAAUUACUGGGCGUAAAGCGCACGCAGGCGGUCUGUCAAGUCGGAUGUGAAAUCCCCGGGCUCAACCUGGGAACUGCAUUCGAAACUGGCAGGCUAGAGUCUUGUAGAGGGGGGUAGAAUUCCGGGUGUAGCGGUGAAAUGCGUAGAGACCUGGAGGAAUACCGGUGGCGAAGGCGGCCCCCUGGACAAAGACUGACGCUCAGGUGCGAAAGCGUGGGGAGCAAACAGGAUUAGAUACCCUGGUAGUCCACGCCGUAAACGAUGUCGAUUUGGAGGUUGUGCCCUUGAGGCGUGGCUUCCGGAGCUAACGCGUUAAAUCGACCGCCUGGGGAGUACGGCCGCAAGGUUAAAACUCAAAUGAAUUGACGGGGGCCCGCACAAGCGGUGGAGCAUGUGGUUUAAUUCGAUGCAACGCGAAGAACCUUACCUGGUCUUGACAUCCACAGAACUUUCCAGAGAUGGAUUGGUGCCUUCGGGAACUGUGAGACAGGUGCUGCAUGGCUGUCGUCAGCUCGUGUUGUGAAAUGUUGGGUUAAGUCCCGCAACGAGCGCAACCCUUAUCCUUUGUUGCCAGCGGUCCGGCCGGGAACUCAAAGGAGACUGCCAGUGAUAAACUGGAGGAAGGUGGGGAUGACGUCAAGUCAUCAUGGCCCUUACGACCAGGGCUACACACGUGCUACAAUGGCAUAUACAAAGAGAAGCGACCUCGCGAGAGCAAGCGGACCUCAUAAAGUAUGUCGUAGUCCGGAUUGGAGUCUGCAACUCGACUCCAUGAAGUCGGAAUCGCUAGUAAUCGUAGAUCAGAAUGCUACGGUGAAUACGUUCCCGGGCCUUGUACACACCGCCCGUCACACCAUGGGAGUGGGUUGCAAAAGAAGUAGGUAGCUUAACCUUCGGGAGGGCGCUUACCACUUUGUGAUUCAUGACUGGGGUGAAGUCAUAAC